GAUGAACGCUCGCGGCAGGCCUAACACAUGCAAGUCGAGGGGUAGAAGGAGCUUGCUCCUUUGAGACCGGCGUACGGGUGCGUAACGCGUAUGCAAUCUACCUUGUACAGGGGAAUAGCCCAGAGAAAUUUGGAUUAAUGCCCCAUAGUAUAUAACCUUCGCAUGUUGGUUAUAUUAAAGUUCCAACGGUACAAGAUGAGCAUGCGUCCCAUUAGUUAGUUGGUAAGGUAACGGCUUACCAAGACGAUGAUGGGUAGGGGUCCUGAGAGGGAGAUCCCCCACACUGGUACUGAGACACGGACCAGACUCCUACGGGAGGCAGCAGUGAGGAAUAUUGGUCAAUGGUCGCAAGACUGAACCAGCCAUGCCGCGUGCAGGAAGACGGUCCUAUGGAUUGUAAACUGCUUUUAUACAGGAAGAAACCCUCCCACGUGUGGGAGCUUGACGGUACUGUAGGAAUAAGGAUCGGCUAACUCCGUG
rnacentral:rRNA from 1 species